CGGAGAACGCGUAUCUAACCUGCCCUUCGAGUGAGGCACAACUAUGGAGACAUAGCUAAUUCCUCAUACGCUCUAGAGAAAUGAAAAUAUCUAGAGGAAAGAUUUAUCGCUCAAGGAGGGGGGUGCGCCUAUCAGGUAGUUGGUGAGGUAACGGCUCACCAAGCCUAUGACGGGUAGCCGGUCUGAGAGCAUGUCCGGCCGCAAUGGAACUGAGAACGGUCCAU
rnacentral:rRNA from 1 species